AGGUCCUCAAUAAGUAUUUGUUGAAAGAAUAAAUGAACCAACAAGUCUUAUUUGAGCACCUGUUAUG
ncrna:Equus caballus (horse) microRNA eca-mir-1264 precursor